UAAAGAAAUCAAGAGCGAACGGUGGAUGCCUUGGCUCUAGGAGGCGAAGAAGGACGUGGUAAGCUGCGAUAAGGUUCGGGUAGGUGCAAACGACCUUUGAUCCGGACAUUUCCGAAUGGGGCAACCCGGCAGGUUGAAGACCUGUCACCAUGCUGUGCAUGGGGCGAACUGAGGGAACUGAAACAUCUUAGUACCUCAAGGAAGAGAAAACAACAGUGAUUCCGCGAGUAGUGGCGAGCGAAAGCGGAAGAGCCCAAACCGAUGACGUUUAGGCGUGAUUGGGGUUAUAGGACUGCGACAUCUGACAUUUAUCUGAAGUGGAACGUAUCUGGAAAGUUAGACCAUAGACGGUGAAAGUCCGGUACACGUAAGGAUGAAGUUGGUAGCAGUAUCCUGAGUAGCGCGGAGCACGAGGAAUUCUGCGUGAAUUAGCGGGGACCAUCCCGUAAGGCUAAAUACUCCCUAGAGACCGAUAGUGAACAAGUACUGUGAAGGAAAGGUGAAAAGGACCUCGAGUAGAGGAGUGAAAUAGUUCCUGAACCCGUUCGCUUACAAGCGGUCGGAGCCCCUUUAUGGGGGUGACGGCGUGCCUUUUGCAUAAUGAACCUACGAGUCACCUUCCUGAGCGAGGUUAAGUACUUCAGGUACGUAUCCGAAGCGAAAGCGAGUUUUAACAGAGCGUUUAGUUCUGGGGGGUGGACGCGAAACCGAGUGAUCUACACAUGAGCAGGAUGAAGUUUCGGUAACACGGAAUGGAGGUCCGAACCAGUAAACGUUGAAAAGUUUUUGGAUGACUUGUGUGUAGGGGUGAAAGGCUAAUCAAACUCGGAGAUAGCUCGUACUCCCCGAAAUGCAUUUAGGUGCAGCGUGCAUAUAGUCUUAAAGAGGUAGAGCGACUGAUCGGAUGCGAGGGUUUCACCGCCUAUCAAGUCCGGAUAAACUCCGAAUGCUUUAAGAUGUUUAUGUGCAGUGAGGGCGCGGGUGCUAACGUCCGUGUCCGAGAGGAGAAGAAUCCAGAUCAUCGGCUAAGGUCCCGAAAUGUAUGCUAAGUUAGUUUAACGAAGUUAUGCCGCAGUGACAGCUAGGAUGUUGGCUUGGAAGCAGCCAUUCAUCUAAAGAGUGCGUAACAGCUCACUAGUCGAGCGGCGUAGCGUGGAUAAUAAUCGGGUAUAAGCAUACUACCGAAGCCAUGGGAUCGAAAGAUCGGUAGGGGAGCAUUCUUGUCGGCGUAGAAGGUUUGUUGUAAGACAGACUGGAGCGUCAAGAAAAGCAAAUGUAGGUAUAAGUAACGAUAAACAAGGUGAGAAACCUUGUCGCCGGAAGACUGAGGAUUCCUGAUCAACGCUAAUCGGAUCAGGGUUAGUCGGGACCUAAGGCAAAGCCGAAAGGCGCGGCCGAUGGAAGAAACUGUUAAUAUUCAGUUACUGGCAUACAUGGCGAUGUGGAGACGGAGGCGUGAAAGUUCUGCGGGCUGACGGAAUAGCCCGUUAAAGGGUGUAGACGUUGAUACGGUAGGCAAAUCCGCCGUUGAGUUGAACCUGACAGUACCGCAAAGGCUUGCCUGCGCGGAAAAGGACGUAACCAGACUCCCAAGAAAAUCCGCUAAGCUUAACAUGUAUGGCACCCGUACCACAAACGGACACACGUGGUCACGUAUAGAGUACUAAGGCGCUCGAGUGAUUCACAGCUAAGGAACUAGGCAAAAUAGCCCCGUAACUUCGGGAAAAGGGGCGCUCCUGUGAGGGAGCCGCAGAGAAAUGGCUCAAGCGACUGUUUAACAAAAACAUAGGGCUAUGCGAAAUUGAAAGAUGAAGUAUAUGGCCUGACACCUGCCCGGUGCUGGAAGGUUAAGAGGAGAUGUCACGAAAGGAAGCAUUGAAUUGAAGCCCCAGUAAACGGCGGCCGUAACUAUAACGGUCCUAAGGUAGCGAAAUUCCUUGUCGGGUAAGUUCCG
rnacentral:rRNA from 1 species